rnacentral:rRNA from 1 species
GAUGAACGCUAGCUACAGGCUUAACACAUGCAAGUCGCAGGGUAACAUGAGGAAAGCUUGCUUUCCUUGAUGACGACUGGCGCACGGGUGAGUAACGCGUAUCCAACCUUCCCAUAACUACGGGAUAACCCGUUGAAAGACGGCCUAAUACCGUAUGAUAUCGUUUGCUGACAUCAAAUAACGAUUAAAGUUUUAGCGGUUAUGGAUGGGGAUGCGUCUGAUUAGCUUGUUGGCGGGGUAACGGCCCACCAAGGCGACGAUCAGUAGGGGUUCUGAGAGGAAGGUCCCCCACAUUGGAACUGAGACACAGUCCAAAAUCCUACGGAAGGCAGCAGUGAGGAAUAUUGGUCGCUGAGCGCGAGCCUGAACCAGCCAAGUAGCGUGCAGGAUGACGGCCCUAUGGGUUGUAAACUGCUUUUAUGUGGGGAUAAAGUGCGUGACGUGUCAUGCCUUGCAGGUACCAAAUGAAUAAGGACCGGCUAAUUCCGUG